GCCCAGGUGGUGAAAUUGGUAGACACGCUAUCUUGAGGGGGUAGUAGCGCAAGCUGUGCCGGUUCAAGUCCGGCUCUGGGCA
rnacentral:tRNA from 1 species